ensembl:snoRNA
CAGCCUCAACCUCAGGGCUUUGCAAAGGUAGCCACCAUUCUACAAGAGCCUGCAAAAGCAAUGAGACUUGGAGAGAUUUUGACAGCACAGGUCAGCAUUAUACCUGCAGCUGCCACUCACCUUUCCGAUAAUG